GACGAACGCUGGCGGCGUGCUUAACACAUGCAAGUCGAACGGUGAUGUCAGAGCUUGCUCUGGCGGAUCAGUGGCGAACGGGUGAGUAACACGUGAGUAACCUGCCCCCGACUCUGGGAUAACUGCUAGAAAUGGUAGCUAAUACCGGAUAUGACGAUUGGCCGCAUGGUCUGGUCGUGGAAAGAAUUUCGGUUGGGGAUGGACGCGCGGCCUAUCAGGUUGUUGGUGAGGUAAUGGCUCACCAAGCCUACGACGGGUAGCCGGCCUGAGAGGGUGACCGGCCACACUGGGACUGAGACACGGCCCAGACUCCUACGGGAGGCAGCAGUGGGGAAUAUUGCACAAUGGGCGAAAGCCUGAUGCAGCAACGCCGCGUGAGGGAUGACGGCCUUCGGGUUGUAAACCUCUUUUAGUAGGGAAGAAGCGAAAGUGACGGUACCUGCAGAAAAAGCACCGGCUAACUACGUGCCAGCAGCCGCGGUAAUACGUAGGGUGCAAGCGUUGUCCGGAAUUAUUGGGCGUAAAGAGCUCGUAGGCGGUUUGUCGCGUCUGCUGUGAAAUCCCGAGGCUCAACCUCGGGUCUGCAGUGGGUACGGGCAGACUAGAGUGCGGUAGGGGAGAUUGGAAUUCCUGGUGUAGCGGUGGAAUGCGCAGAUAUCAGGAGGAACACCGAUGGCGAAGGCAGAUCUCUGGGCCGUAACUGACGCUGAGGAGCGAAAGCAUGGGGAGCGAACAGGAUUAGAUACCCUGGUAGUCCAUGCCGUAAACGUUGGGAACUAGAUGUGGGGACCAUUCCACGGUCUCCGUGUCGCAGCUAACGCAUUAAGUUCCCCGCCUGGGGAGUACGGCCGCAAGGCUAAAACUCAAAGGAAUUGACGGGGGCCCGCACAAGCGGCGGAGCAUGCGGAUUAAUUCGAUGCAACGCGAAGAACCUUACCAAGGCUUGACAUAUACCGGAAACAUGCAGAAAUGUGUGCCCCGCAAGGUCGGUAUACAGGUGGUGCAUGGUUGUCGUCAGCUCGUGUCGUGAGAUGUUGGGUUAAGUCCCGCAACGAGCGCAACCCUCGUUCUAUGUUGCCAGCACGUAAUGGUGGGAACUCAUAGGAGACUGCCGGGGUCAACUCGGAGGAAGGUGGGGAUGACGUCAAAUCAUCAUGCCCCUUAUGUCUUGGGCUUCACGCAUGCUACAAUGGCCGGUACAAAGGGCUGCGAUACCGUAAGGUGGAGCGAAUCCCAAAAAGCCGGUCUCAGUUCGGAUUGAGGUCUGCAACUCGACCUCAUGAAGUCGGAGUCGCUAGUAAUCGCAGAUCAGCAACGCUGCGGUGAAUACGUUCCCGGGCCUUGUACACACCGCCCGUCAAGUCAUGAAAGUCGGUAACACCCGAAGCCAGUGGCCUAACCGCAAGGGAGGAGCUGUCGAAGGUGGGAUCGGUGAUUAGGACUAAGUCGUAACAAGGUAGCCGUACCGGAA
rnacentral:rRNA from 2 species